rnacentral:rRNA from 1 species
AGUGAACGCUGGCGGUAGGCCUAACACAUGCAAGUCGAACGGCAGCACAGUAAGAGCUUGCUCUUACGGGUGGCGAGUGGCGGACGGGUGAGGAAUACAUCGGAAUCUACUUUUUCGUGGGGGAUAACGUAGGGAAACUUACGCUAAUACCGCAUACGACCUACGGGUGAAAGCAGGGGAUCUUCGGACCUUGCGCGAUUGAAUGAGCCGAUGUCGGAUUAGCUAGUUGGCGGGGUAAAGGCCCACCAGGGCGACGAUCCGUAGCUGGUCUGAGAGGAUGAUCAGCCACACUGGAACUGGGACACGGUCCAGACUCCUAGGGGAGGCAGGAGGGGGGAAUAUUGGACAAUGGGGGAAAGCCUGAUCCAGCCAUACCGCGUGGGUGAAGAAGGCCUUCGGGUUGUAAAGCCCUUUUGUUGGGAAAAAAAAGCAGCAGGUUAAUACCCCGCUGUUCGGACGGUACCCAAAGAAUAAGCACCGGCUAACUUCGU